CCGCAAACGCUUGCGGGAAAGAG
rnacentral:snRNA from 1 species